AGAGUUUGAUCAUGGCUCAGGACGAACGCUUGCGGCGUGCCUAAGAAAUGCAAGUCGAGCGGGGGAGCAAUCCCUAGCGGCGAACGGUCGCGUAACACGUAAGCAACCUGCCCGAAAGACCGGGACAACAGCUCGAAAGGGCUGCUAAUACCGGAUGUGUCCACUGGGUCUCAUGACCUGGUGAGUAAAUCAUUUAUGGCUUUCGGAGGGGCUUGCGGCCUAUCAGCUAGAUGGCGGUGUAACGGACCACCAUGGCGACGACGGGUAGCUGGUCUGAGAGGAUGGUCAGCCGGACUGGGACUGAGAUACGGCCCAGACUCCUACGGGGGGCAGCAAUUAGGAAUCUUGUGCAAUGGGCGAAAGCCUGACACAGCGACGCCGCGUGAGGGAGGAAGGCCUUCGGGUUGUAAACCUCUUUUGACGAGGAAGAACACAAUGACGGUACUCGUCGAAUAAGCCCCGGCUAACUCCGUGCCAGCAGCCGCGGUAAUACGGGGGGGGCGAGCGUUGUCCGAAGUUACUGGGCGUAAAGCGCGUGUAGGCGGGUUGUUAAGUCCGCUGUGAAAGCCCGGUGCUCAACGCCGGAGGGUCGGUGGAUACUGGCAGUCUUGAAGUGGCUAGGGGGAAAUGGAAUUACCGGUGUAGCGGUGAAAUGCGUAGAUAUCGGUAGGAACACCAGUGGCGAAGGCGGUUUCCUGGAGCUAACUUGACGCUGAGACGCGAAAGCUGGGGGAGCAAACGGGAUUAGAUACCCUAGUAGUCC
rnacentral:rRNA from 1 species